GGGAUUUUUAGGGCAUGGGCCACCUGUCUCCUUGCAUGGCCCUGCAAUAAGCCGUUCUCUGCUCCAAACUCUGACCUUCAGUUUGUUUGGCCUCACUGUGCUUCAGGGGCAUGAACUUGUGCUGAGAGCAUUGCUGUCCCAUUCAGCUUGUGCAUCUCUCUGAAAGGCAGAGGCUGGAGCCCUGACAUGCCAUGGUCCACUCUCUCUUGCACGUGGGAUUCCAGCUGAGAAAACAGUUCCACUAGCAAGAUGUCCUACGAGAAAAGGGGAUCCUGGUAAGGGAAAUAGAGAGAAGCUUUGAGUGUCAGCAGCCUGGAGUUCAAAGCCAGAUCUACAGCCUCUGGAAAAUCCAAACCAAGAUGCACGGAAGAGUGGUUUGGAAGAGCAAACGAGGUCUGUGCGUCACAGCACGUAAGGGGAGAAACAGACAUUGCAACCCAGUGUGUUGAGUUCAGCCUGAAAGUAAGUUUCAGAAAUAGUGGGUACACAGAAUGUGGGACCCCACUCUUGGGUGGGCGUGACCAGGGAGGGCUUCCUGGAGAACAUGUUGGUUCCAUAUUCUUUCAGGAAAAAGUUGUCGCUCUCAAGAAAGAAAGUCUUGUGCUGCUUGAAGGUGAAAAUUCAG
rnacentral:lncRNA from 1 species